GGCUGCACCUAUGGCAUAUGGAGAUUCCCAGGAUAGGAAUCGAAUCAGAGCUAUAGCUUCUGGCCUCUGCCACAGGCAAAGCAACUCGGGAUCUGAGCUGCAUCUGCAACGUACACCAUACAUAGCUCAUGGCAACGCCAGAUCCUUAACCCACUGAGCAAGGCCAGGGGUCAAAUCUGGGUCCUCAUGGAUGCUACUCAGAUUUGUUAACCACUGAGCCAUGACAGGAACUCCAAUAACAAGAACUUUUUUUAUAUAAUGAUUUUUAUUUUUUCCAUUAUAGCUGGUUUACAGUGUUCUGUCAAUUUUCUAAUAUACAGCAUGAUGACCCAGUUACACAUACAUGUAUACAUUCUUUUUUCUCACAUUAUCAUGUUCCAUCAUAAGUGACUAGACAUAGUUCCCAGGACUAUACAGCAGGAUCUCAUUGCUUAUGCAUUCCAAAGGCAACAGUUUGCAUCUAUUAACCCCAAAUUUCCAAUCCAUCCCACUCCCUCCCCCUCCCCCUUGGCAACCACAAGUCUGUUCUCCAUGUCCAUGAUUUUCUUUUCUGUGGAGAAAAGGGAACCCUCCUGCACUGUUGGUGGGAAUGUAAAUUGGUACAACCACUAUGGAGAACAGCAUGGAGGUACCUUAGAAAACUACACAUAGAACUACCAUAUGACCCAGCAAUCCCACUCAUGGGCCUAUGUCAGGACAAAACUUUCCUUGAAAAAGAUACAUGCACCCGCAUGUUCAUUGCAGCACUAUUCACAAUAGCCAAGACAUGGAAAUAACCUAAAUGUCCAUCAGCAGAUGACUGGAUUAAAAAGAUAUUUUUACUACUCCCUGGCAGAUUUUUACUACUCCCUGGCAGAUUUUCCUUUGGAAAAAUUGUGACUUGCAAAAAUAGUUCAUUUUCUACUACAUCUCUCACAUCCUUUCUUCCAUAGCAGGCAGAGUACUUAUUACAAGAAGAAAUAAUCAGACAAGAACAACUGCCCUUUGAACAAUGAGAAAUACUGCCUGAUGUAUUUUUCCUAGUACUCACUCUUGGUUCCAGGUAGCAAGAAUGUGUCAAUUUUAACAUUCCCCUGCACCUUAGGUCCCAAGGCAACAUUCUGAAACCCUCAGCUUCUUCUCAAAAUGAACUGAACUUCAGGGACAGUGACAAGACUCAAGACAUCAGGCUGUCACUUAGGAAUUACCAUGGGAUUAGAGUACCUGAACAAGCAAGAAGGAGAUGAGACAGGGGGCGGGGGUGGAAAGAGGAAGAGUGGAGCACUAAUCUGUAUUUAAAUAAACUUCCUUAACAUGUUAUUUUUUUACAGUAUUUUGUCUCAUCAAGUGUUUGGCUAUUUGGAGCUGUCAUUUCUAGCUAUCCUAGAACUUGUCAUUGGUAGAAAAAAAAACCUUUUUAAAAAAACACAUAUUACUGAAAGAUAUCUCCUAUUUUUUUUAGGUGAAGGGGAUUAAGAGGUACAAACUACUAGAUAUAAAAUAAAUAAGUUACAAAUAUAUAAUGUAUUAAAUAUAGUCAAUAUUUUAUGGUAACUUUGCAUGGAAUAUAAUCUACAAAAAUACUGAUUACUAUGUUGUAUACCUAAUGUUAAUAUAAUAUUGUAAGCCUAUAUCAAUUAAAAAACAUACCUAAAUGGAUUUUUUUCUGUUGAAACCCUAAUGAUUUCUAUUAUACUUCCAGAAAGCUUUUUCUUAAUUUCAAAAUUAAUUUUCAAUUAAGUUUCUCUUGGGUUUAAAUUGUUUUGCCCACCAGUCUUUUGACUAAUGACUGCCAAACACAUUCCUUAAUGAACUAGGGAGCCUGCUAUUUCAAAGACUCCCUUGCUUAAAUGGAAUCGCAACAUAUACCACUAUAAAAGAGAGAUUCUACAGAGCAAGGUUAUUUUCCUCAAGUGACAGGAAGAUUAAACAAAAAGACUUUGUUGAUGUGAUUACAAGUUUUACAUCUUAAUUGGUCCAUGUAAAAAACAGCAUCUCUAGUAAAGUGGUCCUCUGUAACGAAUGAACUUUAUUACUAGCUACUGAACAUAAAUCAUAAUUUUCUGCUACUAUUAACAAUUCCUCUUUAACUCCUUGCAUCCACUUGCCAUCAAACCUUCCAACCUCCUACACAAAAGUCACCUAAAUUUCCCUCAAACCAUCCACCAAAGAAAACACAGAGGAUACUCAGAAUCUAGGAGACAUGUGGGGAAAUGCAGUGGGAAAUUGGGUGGGACUUAAAUAUUUCUCCUACUCAUAUUAGCUUCUAAUUCACUACUAAGAUAAUAAGUUGCUUCAGAUGAUGAAAAAUAAGUAACAAUUCUCUAAAAUCAAAGAAAAUUUUCAUAUCUCAAGGAAAAGGGUAUUUGUAAAUUUUGCCACCACUAGGAAGCUCUAUAUUUAGCUGAGUUAAUUGCAGUAAUGUUAGCUUUUACAUCAGUCAUCAUUUUUGAUACUUUUCUAUAUAGCUAUGAAUAUAACAUGAGGUCAAAAUAAAUGUUAUAACAUGAAUCAUUAACAAUUUUAUUUAAAUCUUGUAUAAAAGCACUACCUGUUACAUUUUAUAAACUGUUUAUCUUAUAUAGAAGUACAUUUAUGAAAAAUUCAAACCAUACAAGAAUUUUUUGGGAUACUUCAUAUAUUGAGAGUCUUAAAAUUGUUGCUUGACUCUAACCUGAUGAUUCCAUAAAAUAGAUUACAUUCAUUGCAGGAUUAACUUGGAUGCCUACUAAACCAUUUGUUUUGGAAACAUACACUAAGUAGAUUAUUUUUAAAGGCAAGUCUACUCAGAUCAACUGUUGGCCCCACGUUGUGGUGGGUAUGAGUUAUGAGGGGACCCAUGGUGAGGACAAGAGGGUGAAAAGGGUAACAUGGGACCCCCUCACCCAAGAGAAACACAUCUUAGUCAUCUUACUGGCACCAAGCACGUACUAUCAGCAUCUUAUAGGAGUGAACAGAGUGUUAUUUAUUCUUGACCAAUUUUACAGAAAAUGGAAGUUCUUCAAUACACAUUCAUUCAGGAAUAAUAAGUAUACACUACAAUGACGCUGAAAGAUACAGGAGUCAAUACAGCUUAGAAAAGAAUUAAAAAGGACAAGGAGGUGACAAAACAUUGUGGAGGCAACUAUAGCCAGAAUGAAGGCUUAAUUUGUGCUGCCUGCCCUUCUUCUGCUCUGUGACACUAUCUGUUUUCAAUGUCUUGCAAAGGGUCAUCACCCAUCAUCCCAAAGAUCUUCUCUUCACUAAAAAGCCCAAAUGACUCAGAAUCUGAUGGACUGUGAAAAUAUGACCUCUACUAAAUAAACCAAGAAGUGAAGGGAGGAGGUGUAUGUGCUUUCCCAGUGGCACAGAGUUGGUUUCAUUUCAUUAGAUGUGAUAGUCACUGAGUAUCUGCUCAAUAACAGGCAGCUAUGGGAGAAAUUCAGUCUACAGGGGAACCUAUACCUAGACAGAAAAGGAAGAUGCACACAUCAAUGAUAUCGUCCAAGAGCUUCAUUCAUGUCUGCAAUGCUUUCCACCAGCCCCCCUAUCUUGACCCAAGACCUCUCCUCUGCUAAUUUGGAAGCACAGUGGAAAUUUGUCUUAAUUUAACCACAUUCCUCAAAUUCCAUAUCCACCUAAUGUAUUAUUAGGAUGAAUUAGACCACAAGUAACCAAAAAGCCAAAGCAAAAUAGCUUAAACAAUACAAGGCUUGUGUAAUUGGAAAGUCCAGAGUUGACGCACUCAAGUUUCAGAGUAGGUCUGAUUCAGCAGUUCAACAGUAAAAUUGAAGUCCUAGGUUCUUUCCUCCAUGUGCCAACUUUGUCCUCAGACUCUUUCCCCUUUUUGGUCUCAAGACAGCUCUAGUGACCCCCAGAGCUAUAACCCCUUCAAGAUUGGGAGAGUGGCAAUCUAGCUCUAAAGAGCCUGGAAGCUUCCUACCCAGGAAUAUUCUAGUACCUUGUCACAAUUCCAUCCUUGAACCAAUAUCUAUGACCUAGAAAUGGGAUUACUCUGAGCAGUUCAGGCCUAAGUGACAGACCUCACCCCUGGUUCCAAGGGUAGAAUCAGUUUCCCCAAAAGCAUUUGUGGCAACGGAACCAAAACUCUCAAGAUUGAGGAAAAGCUAUGCAAAAAUAACUGUGGUUACUAGGCUGAAGAAGGAAGACCAAAAAGGAGCAAUUUUUCCCUACAAGGAGGAGCUACCAUCCACACUCUGUCCUUCCUCAUUGCUCUCCUUAUACCAAAAGCAUCAAGGGAGCCCACACUGGGUGUUUUGUGUUUGGAAAAAUAAGAAAUAGGUGAGGGCAUGGCAUUUACAGGCCUAAGCUCAGAAAUACUCCUUUCGGAGUUCCUGCUGUGGCUCAGUGGAAAUGAAUGUGACUAGCAUCCAUGAGGAUGCAGGUUCAAUCCCUGGCUUCACUCAGUGGAUUAAGGAUCUGGCAUUGCCAUUAGCUGUGGUGUAGGUCACAGACAUGGUUCAUACCCUGUGUUGCUGCGGCUGUGGCAUAGGGCAGCAGCUGCAGUUCCAAUUCAACCCCUAUCCUGGGAACCUCCAUAUACCUUGUGUGACUCUCAAAAGACAAAAAAAAAGAAAAAAAAAAAAGAAAGAAAGAAAUAUUCCUUUCCUAUUUAACAAAAUAAGCCACUUUUUAAGGCUAGAUGAUUUGCGUCAAUAGUGGCUCAUAGGCUAGACAGUGUCAGAAGGUGCUAUGGCUACUACGAGAUUAUGAGUGACACAUUUAGCACACCAAGCAAUUCUACACACGAGUGAUUUGGGGAACAUGAGCACACAGGAAGGAGCUUCCCAGCAGAAUGGCUGUCAAAGGACUUAAGAACAUGGGACGGUUCUAUAUCACAGCCAAGGAUGGAGGCGAGCAGCCUUGAAGAGUAAUUCCCCAAUCGCACCGCUUGUCUUGGAACCUGCCACUUUCAUCUACGGCCAUCGUCUAUGCUCCACUUCCUUGCCAUCCUCACCCUUCUCGCUCCUAAGGCUUCACAACUCUCUGCAGCGAGGACAAGAGCACUUUGUGUCAAUAGAGGGGGUAUCACACUAUCAGACAUGGCCUCACAUUGGAUAUUUUAAUCCUUGUACUUAUUUUUCAAGCAAAAAUUGGAAGACCUACAAGUGCCCCAUUUCAUCAAUGGAUGAAGUCAUUGAGCAGCAGGAAGAUAUAUAACCAGUCAUAGGAAUAUCUCACUGGCAAAAAGAGGGAAGCCAGCCCCUCUUGUGGUUUCUGCCCCUGACUGACAUUUCUCCAGUGUCCAAAAUGCAUACCAGGCCUUGCUUCCAAAAUACUUCCCUCUGAAAGGAGCUAAGCCAGCUGGUAGUGAAUGUCCAAGCCAUAAUUUUACCUAUUCCCUACUGCUGGAAAAACUACUCAAAUGACCUAUCCUGCUAGGUAACAGAAUCACCAACAGGAACUCUAUAUGGAGGCCACAUGUUACAAGGCCAUAAGAAAUUACUUCCUUUAGGGUAUUUUCUCUACGUUCUCUUGUCUGUGUCCCUCCAGAUCCUUAUUUGCUUUUCAAGCUUGAUAAAUGGAGGGGUUCGUGGUCAUAAUAUUUAUUUUCUGUUAUGAAAAAUUUAAUAGCAUUCAGUUAAUUUAUAGGAAACAGUAGUCUUCAUCAAAUGCUGAAGU
rnacentral:lncRNA from 1 species